rnacentral:rRNA from 1 species
UACGUAGGGUGCAAGCGUUUGUCCGGAAUUAUUGGGCGUAAAGAGCUCGUAGGCGGUUUGUCGCGUCGGAUGUGAAAGCCCGGGGCUUAACCCCGGGUCUGCAUUCGAUACGGGCAGACUGGAGUGUGGUAGGGGAGAUCGGAAUUCCUGGUGUAGCGGUGAAAUGCGCAGAUAUCAGGAGGAACACCGAUGGCGAAGGCAGGUCACUGGGCCGCAACUGACGCUGAGGAGCGAAAGCAUGGGGAGCGAACAGG